AAUCUCAAGGAAGCUCUUUGGGAGCCAGGAUUCCCAGCACUUAGCUGGUGGGCAAAGGGGUUCAACCCCUUCCCCACACCCCACCUUCCCUCCUCCCAGUCUUCGGGAUUGCGGAGCUCCUGCCGGGAUCCAAGAGCAGGCUCUUGGAGGUCGAAGAAGGAUAUAACCUCCAGACCUGGAAUUUAAGACGCAAGAACCAGCCAGCAAAAGUGGCAGCCGAGCAUGCGAGGGACUGCUGAUGGCUUUUUAUUAGGAAGCUAUGCAACUUGAGGUUCUACUGAAAAGGAGAAGAGGCCACUGGAGAUGGGAAGCCACGAAAACCCUCUCACUGGCAUGGAGCACAGCAAGCAGGCUAGGCUGGCUGGCUAGCGAUCUCCAUCCCAUCUAUCUUUGCCUUCUCAGCACCGGGAUUGCAUACACACCCAGAAUUCUUGGCAUGUUUCUUCAUCCUCUCCAUUUCAAGUUUUAUUUUUAUAAAAGGAAGAUAACAAUGAAGAUGUAGAAGUCUCAGCUCCUUCAAUGCUAUGUCUGCCAAGAUGCUGCCACACUCCCUUCUUGAUGAUAAUGGACUGAACCUCUGAACCUGGACGAGAAACUACAGCAUUACUUCUGCAGAUUCACAAAGGAGUCCACGUUCCAAGAUGAGAGAAAUACCAGAAGCCGAUGGCUAUUCUACUUGACUGAAUGAAAAGAAAAGGAAGGCACUUCCUGUCAAUCCUGCUUUGGAUUCCUAGACAGUUUAAGAAGCACCAUUGAUCUGAUCAUUGGCACUGAGGAGGAAAUGCCCAUCCGCAGAAGACAUGCAGGGCUCAACCCAGCUUGACAUGGGCAGUGAGUGGUUUCUGAUGUAACCCUUUCUGUAAACUACCCCCUCACACACAUGUAAACCCCUGCUUCCUCCUUUAAGUAGCCACAUUGGUGGUGCCUCUGUUGUAAGGUUACAGGGGAGAAUGACUAGACAGUAGUGAGGAAAGCAUUUGGGAAGGUGAUUCGUUUCUGUUUUUCUGGUACUCUCCCAAAACAGGAGAUACUCUUGUUGCAUAGAUGCAGUCAGUGGUUUCUUGCAGUCAGUGGUUUCUUGGAUUUGGGGAGUUAAAAGUCAUGUGACACAGGCCUAUUGACACAUCGAUGUGAGGAGUUUAAGGUAAUGCUGCUGUGAUUGAGAAGAAUCGCCCCAGUAAAGCUUUAGCAUGAAGCCAAGCAGCUUAUAAUGACACAGGAUUCUCAAUGAAUGAAGUUUUAAGGGAUAAAAUCUUUACAAUGAAAUAAAAACAAUCUUAAGAAAACGAUUAGGCUCUAGUAAAAA
rnacentral:lncRNA from 1 species